GCGAAGAGGUCACACCCGUUCCCAUACCGAACACGGAAGUUAAGCUCUUCAGCGCCGAUGGUAGUUGGGGGUUUCCCCCUGUGAGAGUAGGACGCCGCCAAGC
rnacentral:rRNA from 4 species